AUUGAACGCUGGCGGCAGGCUUAACACAUGCAAGUCGAGCGAGCGGCGGACGGGUGAGUAAUGUCUGGGAAACUGCCUGAUCGAGGGGGAUAACUACUGGAAACGUUAGCUAAUACCGCUUACCAUCAGAUGGGCCCAGAUGGGAUUAGCUAGUAGGUGGGGUAAUGGCUGCCCAAGGCAACGAUCCCUAGCUGGUCUGAGAGGAUGACCGGCCACACUGGGACUGAGACACGGUCCAGACUCCUACGGGAGGCAGCAGUGGGGAAUAUUGCACAAUGGGCGAAAGCCUGAUGGAGCCAUGCCGCGUGUGUGAAGAAGGCCUUCGGGUUGUAAAGCACUUUCAUCGAGGAGGCGGUACUCGAAGAAGAAGCAACGGCUAACUCCGUGCCAGCAGCCGCGGUAAUAC
rnacentral:rRNA from 1 species